rnacentral:rRNA from 1 species
CAGCAGCCGCGGGAAUACGUAGGGUGCAAGCGUUAAUCGGAAUUACUGGGCGUAAAGCGUGCGCAGGCGGUUUGUUAAGACAGAUGUGAAAUCCCCGGGCUUAACCUGGGAACUGCAUUUGUGACUGGCAAGCUAGAGUAUGGCAGAGGGGGGUGGAAUUCCGCGUGUAGCAGUGAAAUGCGUAGAUAUGCGGAGGAACACCGAUGGCGAAGGCAGCCCCCUGGGCCAAUACUGACGCUCAUGCACGAAAGCGUGGGGAGCAAACAGGAUUAGAUACCCCUGUAGUCCCUGUCUCUUAUAC